UACGGGGGGAGCAAGCGUUGUUCGGAAUUACUGGGCGUAAAGGGCGCGUAGGCGGCACGGCAAGUCGGGAGUGAAAGCCCGGGGCUCAACCCCCGGAGGGUCUUCCGAAACUGCCGAGCUAGAGUGCGGAAGAGGCAACCGGAAUUCCCAGUGUAGCGGUGAAAUGCGUAGAUAUUGGGAAGAACACCAGAGGCGAAGGCGGGUUGCUGGGCCGACACUGACGCUGAGGCGCGAAAGCCAGGGGAGCAAACGGG
rnacentral:rRNA from 1 species